ACGACCUUACUUGAACAGGAUCUGUUCUAUAGGCUCGUACCUCUGUUUCCUUGAUUUCUCAAGAGACAGGCCCUUAACCCUGGUUGAUGAACCAUGACCGUGCGGCUAGAGCGUGAUUGACGGCUACGAUCGUCCUCGGACGCAUCCGGUGCUGUAGAGGAUCGUUACUCGGCUCGGUUUCUACCUUGCCGGGGUGGUCGCACGGCGGUCUGACAGGUCC
rnacentral:snoRNA from 1 species